rnacentral:lncRNA from 1 species
CAAAGACCCAGCUACUCUCUGACAGUACCUUCAGAACAUCAGACCACCAGAUGGACAGGCUGUGGAGAAGUUUAUGAUGUCAAACUGACAUUCUGUGAAUCAUCCUAACACUGUUCCUCUGCUACCUGUGCUGUUUCCUCCAGUCAGGAUGGGAUCUCUGCAGCAGAGGUGGAGCUGAGAGUCAGACCAGGUGACAAUGUCACUCUCUACUGUGACUGUAUCAUAACUACUGGAGUAUACAUUAUGUGGUAUAGGAACUGUUCUCACAAGUACCAGCCUCCUCUAGUUAUUUCAACUAAGUUUUUAAGUUCCAUCUCUCUACCUGGAUAUCAUGUGGUGUGGAACCCCUCUAACAACUCCUAUGAUCUACUGAUUGAGAACAUCACUGAAUCUGAUCUGGGACUCUACUACUGUGGGACUGUGGAGACGAACCUGGUUGGAGAAGGAAAACCAUUUAUACGUAAAGAGGUGUACCACUACGGAAACAUCACCACUAG